rnacentral:lncRNA from 1 species
AGGAAACCAUUGAGUGUUCACAAGCAGGAUAGUUAUGUCAGGCAAGAAUGUAAGUUACAGACCAAGGAAGAAGGUAACAUUUUAACACAGAAAUCCUAAACUGCCCUCGCAAAAAAAAAAAGAAACCCUAAACUGCAAUGUGUAUUACAAAAAGCUAAAUACAGAACUGGGUUUCAUUUUUUUUCCUUUCCCCCGGAUGGCUUGGUCAGUUGACACUUGACAGGCAGUCAGCUUUACACUCCUCUCUCGUCACCUGCCCUGCAUCUUGUAUUACAGAGAUAACGGGAUUUUGCUCUCACAAAAGAAAAAACAGGGAUAGGGGUCUUUACUCUACUCGCUGGGAAUCACCUAUUCUGGAGGAGCCAAGAACGAUGUGAAGGAAUACAAAUGGUAUGAUUUCUAGAGAACACGAGAUGGACGUGCAGGUCAUUAGCCAAGAACAAUGGAGAGGAACUCGAUCUUCCACUUUCAGAUCUUCUACUCUCAGAUCCAAGUCCCUCUCAGGGUAAAUCGGUAUGGGUCAGUGCCAGUUACUACUCCCAGAUCCGAACCUGGAAAAAUCAACCUACUUCCACACGAAAAUGCAUCACGGAUUCACGAUCGAUUAACUUACCACUGCCGUGGAUCAGGAUGAGCGGAGGGGACAUCGACCGCCGCGGCGGAGGAGGAACAGAACGGCGGCGAACCAGGCGGAAGCGGCAGGCCGUCCUC